AUUGAACGCUGGCGGAAUGCUUUACACAUGCAAGUCGAGCGGCAGCGCGGGGGCAACCCUGGCGGUGAGCGGCGAACGGGUGAGUAACACAUCGGAACGUACCCAGUGGUGGGGGAUAGCCCGGCGAAAGCCGGAUUAAUACCGCAUACGACCUGAGGGGGAAAGUGGGGGACCGCAAGGCCUCACGCCGUUGGAGCGGCCGAUGUUCGAUUAGCUAGUUGGUAGGGUAAAGGCCUACCAAGGCGACGAUCGAUAGCUGGUCUGAGAGGACGACCAGCCACACUGGAACUGAGACACGGUCCAGACUCCUACGGGAGGCAGCAGUGGGGAAUUUUGGACAAUGGGGGCAACCCUGAUCCAGCCAUUCCGCGUGAGUGAAGAAGGCCUCGGUU
rnacentral:rRNA from 1 species